rnacentral:rRNA from 1 species
GAUGAACGCUGGCGGCGUGCCUAAUACAUGCAAGUCGAACGCGAGCAGCAAUGCUCGAGUGGCGAACGGGUGAGUAAUACAUAAGUAACCUGCCCUAGACAGGGGGAUAACUGCUGGAAACGGCAGCUAAGACCGCAUAGGUAUGGACACUGCAUGGUGACCAUAUUAAAAGUGCCAAGGCACUGGUAGAGGAUGGACUUAUGGCGCAUUAGCUGGUUGGUGAGGUAACGGCUCACCAAGGCGACGAUGCGUAGCCGGACUGAGAGGUUGAACGGCCACAUUGGGACUGAGACACGGCCCAG